CUUUGCUUGGAGGUGUGCUGAAAUGCACAUGUGGUUUUCACACUCAAAAGCAGAGUACUGCUUCUGCUGCUCCAGCACAAACGGUGCAACAACCUGCCCCUACUGUACCUGCUCA